GCCACAGAACCAUUUUAUAGCCUAAAGUUGAAUACAGUAACUUCCCCCUUUUUGCCAAUAUUUUUUUUUGUUUUGUUUUGAAUGCUGCAGCUAAAUAUCACUGUCAAAUUAGAAACAAGACGAAAUUGUUAACGUUUCAUUUUGGGUGUGUUUGUUUGUGGUGUUUAUACAAACCAGACCACGCGCGAGUUUGGUCUGACGUAAUGCCCCAUCCUUUCAAGAGUGUGCUUGAAAGAAGAAGACAGACAGAGUGCAUAAAUAUGGUCUCUAUUUAAAUUGUCGCUAGGAGUGAAAGUAAUCACAGCUUCCGGUCUCAUCCCACAGGCUACUGCAGCAGAGCGAGCAAACGCCAUGCGAAUCAUGUACAGCAGUAACCCUGGCAACCGCAGCAACUCCAUCCCAGAGCCCACCAGGGCUGCUGCGAUCACGUAGUUGACAAAAAAUGCACCUUGGUCAGGCAGAGGGACAUACCACAAAGACGCAGAAAUCGAGCAGCAGAACAACUGGCACGCCUCCAAAGUUGACUCCCUUGAGUACGGUACUCUGUGUGGAGCUGAAGCAGCUGCUGUUGUCCAGGAUGGGAGAGCUACCAUUUCUGACCAGCAGGGGCCACUGCUGCCACCACUCAGAAGACAUCACUGAGAACCAGCAGUUUGUCUGCAGAGGCUAAUCACAGAACAUCUCGACUUGGUCACGGGAAACUGGAGCCCAUCCCAGCUGACUACGGGCGAGAGACGUGGUACACCCUGGACAGGUCGCCAAUCAAUCACAGGGCCAAAUUAAAAAUAAUCUAUAAAAAUUUACAAUUUGCUAUUGUGUUAGAAAUGAAUUUGAUUUCAAGUUAUAUACAUUAUAAUAGGCUUACUAGGCCACAGGUUGGAUAAAUU